AACCAGGUGAUCUAUCCAUGGCCAGGAUGAAGGUCGGUAACACGUACUGGAGGUCCGAACCACUAACGUUGAAAAGUUAGGGGAUGAGCUGUGGAUAGGGGUGAAAGGCUAAACAAACCUGGAAAUAGCUGGUUCUCUCCGAAAACUAUUUAGGUAGUGCCUCGUGUAUCACCUUCGGGGGUAGAGCACUGUCAUGGUUGUGGGGUCCAUUGCGGAUUACUACGCCAUAGCAAACUCCGAAUACCGAAGAGUGCAAUCACGGGAGACAGACAUCGGGUGCUAACGUCCGGUGUCAAGAGGGAAACAACCCAGACCGCCAGCUAAGGUCCCCAAAUAUUGCUAAGUGGGAAACGAAGUGGGAAGGCUAAAACAGUCAGGAGGUUGGCUUAGAAGCAGCCAUCCUUUAAAGAAAGCGUAAUAGCUCACUGAUCGAGUCGUCCUGCGCGGAAGAUGUAACGGGGCUAAGCAAUAUACCGAAGCUGCGGAUGCACAUUGAUGUGCAUGGUAGGAGAGCGUUCCGUAAGCCUGCGAAGGUGCACUGAAAAGUGCGCUGGAGGUAUCGGAAGUGCGAAUGCUGACAUGAGUAGCGAUAAAGGGGGUGAAAGGCCCCCUCGCCGUAAGCCCAAGGUUUCCUACGCAACGUUCAUCGGCGUAGGGUGAGUCGGCCCCUAAGGCGAGGCAGAAAUGCGUAGCUGAUGGGAAGCAGGUUAAUAUUCCUGCACCAUUGUUAAAUGCGAUGGGGGGACGGAUCGCGGAAGGUUGUCCGGGUGUUGGAAGUCCCGGUCCUUGCAUUGGAGAAGGCGCUUAGGCAAAUCCGGGCGCGCAAUUCAAGGGUGCGAGGCCAUUCACUUAGGUGAAGAAGCAAUCGGAAGUGGUUCCAAGAAAAGCCUCUAAGCUUCAGUUUAACAAGACCGUACCGCAAACCGACACAGGUGGGCGAGAUGAGUAUUCUAAGGCGCUUGAGAGAACUCGGGAGAAGGAACUCGGCAAAUUGGUACCGUAACUUCGGGAUAAGGUACGCCCCUGUAGCCUGACUCGCCUGCGCGAGAAGGGUGAAGGGGUUGCAAUAAACUGGUGGCUGCGACUGUUUAAUAAAAACACAGCACUCUGCAAACACGAAAGUGGACGUAUAGGGUGUGACGCCUGCCCGGUGCCGGAAGAUUAAAUGAUGGGGUGCAAGCUCUUGAUUGAAGUCCCGGUAAACGGCGGCCGUAACUAUAACGGUCCUAAGGUAGCGAAAUUCCUUGUCGGGUAAGUUCCGACCUGCACGAAUGGCGUAACGAUGGCCACACUGUCUCCUCCCGAGACUCAGCGAAGUUGAAGUGUUUGUGAUGAUGCAAUCUCCCCGCGGCUAGACGGAAAGACCCCAUGAACCUUUACUGUAGCUUUGCAUUGGACUUUGAACCGAUCUGUGUAGGAUAGGUGGGAGGCUAUGAAGCGUGAACGCCAGUUUGCGUGGAGCCGUCCUUGAAAUACCACCCUGGUUUGUUUGAGGUUCUAACCUUGGCCCGUGAUCCGGGUCGGGGACAGUGCAUGGUAGGCAGUUUGACUGGGGCGGUCUCCUCCCAAAGUGUAACGGAGGAGUACGAAGGUACGCUAGGUACGGUCGGAAAUCGUGCUGAUAGUGCAAUGGCAUAAGCGUGCUUAACUGCGAGACCGACAAGUCGAGCAGGUGCGAAAGCAGGUCAUAGUGAUCCGGUGGUUCUGUAUGGAAGGGCCAUCGCUCAACGGAUAAAAGGUACUCUGGGGAUAACAGGCUGAUACCGCCCAAGAGUUCAUAUCGACGGCGGUGUUUGGCACCUCGAUGUCGGCUCAUCUCAUCCUGGGGCUGUAGCCGGUCCCAAGGGUAUGGCUGUUCGCCAUUUAAAGAGGUACGUGAGCUGGGUUUAAAACGUCGUGAGACAGUUUGGUCCCUAUCUGCCGUGGGCGCUGGAUAUUUGAAGGGGGCUGCUCCUAGUACGAGAGGACCGGAGUGGACGAACCUCUGGUGUACCGGUUGUCACGCCAGUGGCAUCGCCGGGUAGCUAUGUUCGGAAGAGAUAACCGCUGAAAGCAUCUAAGCGGGAAACUCGCCUUAAGAUGAGAUAUCCCCGGGGCUUCGAGCCCCUUGAAGGGUCGUUCAAGACCAGGACGUUGAUAGGUCAGGUGUGGAAGCGCAGUAAUGCGUUAAGCUAACUGAUACUAAUUGCCCGUAAGGCUUGAUCCUA
rnacentral:rRNA from 1 species